GUUGUAAUGAAUUGUCCAUAGAAAGCGACCUGCAAAUGUUGUUGUUCGGAUAAACCAGUGAUCUUUUUGAGCGUUUCAAAGAAUAAUACUUGCUAUCUUUACAACGGGAAUCGUUAUCACAAUAAGAGUCAAUGGAUGAGGAGUUCAGCUGCUAAAAGUGACAGGAAAACGCCGCUAUUUCCUCAGACGAACUUCAGACGAAGAGUGCGCCUACAGCAAUAUUACUAGCUAACAAAGCGGACUGCUAAUCGUUUUGUUUCACGGACAAAUUGAGCACAUGACAUCAAAAGGCAUAGACGCCUAACUAAGACUACCUGCGGUGCUUCAGUUAGAUGACCCGUAGAGAUUUUAUCCAGAGCCAAUUGAGCGAACAGUGAUGAUACAAUCUGUUAUGGUAACACUUAUCAGCGAUGACAAACAAAAGGGUCACCCUGUUAUCAGAAAGAGUGAAUGCCGAUUGAAAGCUUUUAUAUAUGCUCAUCGUUACUCUUUCUUUGCAAGUUGAAGAGAGAAAAGGCAAGAAAUAUUCUCGAUGCGGGCAGGAUCUCUAGUUUUAAAGGCAAACAGGGCGGAGAUUGUUUUUUUUUUUUUUACGCAUCUGUUUAUUCAUUAUUUAUUUUUCUGAGCCAGGGACUUGUGCCGGCGGUUUUCCGGCGCUUUUCACGAUAAAUAUCAGCUACAAACAAACCAAUAAACUUUUCCAUCAUCAUAAUGCUCUUGCAAAGGUUGCAAGACCCUUUGGAAGAUUAUUCCAUCAUAGAUUUGACUACAGCCGAAGGUAAACAUCGUAAACAAGUAGAAUAAGAAAAUCGUGGCGGUAUCUUCAGUGAUAUUCGCGUUCCUUUCCUUGCAGAAAAAGCCUUUAUCUUAAUUUGACUCGAGACAGCGAAAAAAGCUGCAGCAAUUCCAUAAAAAAAUACAAUUCUGUCAGAUCAUUGAAGUUCAAACUUCGUGAUUUGGCGGUGUCUGCAAGGUAAUUUAUUUUCUGCUUUUGUUUAAUUUUCCUUUUCAAGCGAAUGAAAUAAUUCUUUUUUUGUUAACUCCUUUCCGCUUUCUUGAUUAGACCACUCGAAUGGUUUACCAACGUGAAGGAACUUUCACAUGAAACUUACCCUAACAAAGAAGCAUUAUUAUGUCAUAGAUCAGCGAUGCUUACCACGCCGACCUCCAGCGGAAGUGACUCUCACUGUACUCCAACUCUAAUCUUAAGGUUUACUACACUCGCUGCACGUGCAAAUAAACUCAUUAAGGAUUUCUAGCAGUUAGGACGGUAACGCCAAGGAAGACGUCGAUUUAAAAAUGAAUAUACUUUUAGUUGGAAUUUCGCGACUGACUGGAUGUGUUUACCAUCUCUUCCGGCGCCGAAAGCUAACCUCAGCACAACGUAUGAUAGCGACCAUGAGUUCUAACUAGGAACUUGAAUAAUUUGCCGUCGGGGUUUCCUUUCUUGGACCACGCAAAUUUUGAUGAUUUCACUUUGUUAUUUUGCAGAGGAAAGCUAUGAAGUGUACACAGUUUUAAAACGCACGUGCUGAGCUAUUGUUCUGCUCAUUAUAUCUUUUGUUUUGUCAAGUCCUCGUUACCGUUGCCGUUGUGGUUUGUUAAAGGUCUCUAUUGUCAAUACAAGGCCAUUUUGCUUCAAAAACACUGGACAGUCCACCUCACCAUUAGAGAUAAUUUUCAGUUCUGUUGUAUUUUAACGAUAGUCUCAUUUCUCUGUAUGUAAAAAAAAAUUCAGUUUAGUUAGCUUGCCACUCUCAAUUUUCUCAAAGCUGGGUUUUUACGCUGUUUGUAAUCCUAAGCGCACGGUCUUUUAUUCAAGUUUCCAGAGACUUUUCGAGAGCACACAUAUGCUUAUGAGGUCAGUCAUCGACACAAUCAAAACAUUACCCAAUCAGAGUAGCCCAAAUGCACCGUUGUGUUAUAGUUGACCUUCUGUAGUUUAACCACUUAUUCAUUAGCAAUAGUUUUAAUAAAAUGUCAUAACCGAAAUCGCCCGUAUGGUCCGAAGGAAACUGUAGUAGUAUUAUUCAUAUUACAAAUGACGGAGUAAAAGGCCUUCUCAUGAAGUGUUUUGCGUCAAAUCUCUUCAGUAGCAAGCGUUUUUGUCUUGGUUACAGUUAUUCCUGACGCAGGUGUUCUGGAGAGUUUCACGAAUGGUAUACUUCACGCUGGAGAAUUCUAUUUAAAUAAACAAUGAUAAAAAUA